UACGGAGGGUGCAAGCGUUAUCCGGAUUCACUGGGUUUAAAGGGUGCGUAGGUGGGAAUGUAAGUCAGUGGUGAAAUCUCCGUGCUUAACAUGGAAACUGCCAUUGAUACUAUGUUUCUUGAAUUUUCUGGAGGUUAGCGGAAUAUGUCAUGUAGCGGUGAAAUGCUUAGAUAUGACAUAGAACACCAAUUGCGAAGGCAGCUGACUACAGGGAUAUUGACACUGAGGCACGAAAGCGUGGGGAUCAAACAGG
rnacentral:rRNA from 1 species